rnacentral:rRNA from 1 species
AGGAAUUUUCGUCAAUGGGCGCAAGCCUGAACGAGCAACGCCGCGUGGUGGAUGACGGCUUUUGGGUUGUAAACACCUUUUAGGGGGGACGAUAAUGACGGUACCCCCGGAAUAAGCCCCGGCUAACUCUGUGCCAGCAGCCGCGGUAAUACAGAGGGGGCAAGCGUUGUCCGGAGUUACUGGGCGUAAAGCGUACGCAGGCGGUUUGGUAAGUGGAGUGUGAAAGUGGCGGGCUCAACCCGCCGAGGCCAUUGCAUACUGCCAAACUCGAGCCCGACAGAGGCCAGUCGAAUUGCCGGUGUAGUGGUGAAAUGCGUAGAGAUCGGCAGGAAGACCAAGGGAGAAAUCAGCUGGCUGGGUCGGCGCUGACGCUCGUGUACGAAAGCGUGUGGAGCGAACCGGAUUAGAUACCCGGGUAGUCCACGCCGUAAACGAUGGAUACUCGGCAUUUGCUUGCAAUCCGCGAGUGGGUGCCCAAGCUCACGCGAUAAAGUAUCCCGCCUGGGAAGUACGAGCGCAAGCUUAAAACUCAAAGGAAUUUGACGGG